rnacentral:rRNA from 1 species
AUUAUUAGAUACCCGUGUAGUCCUAGCCGUAAACGAUACUCGCUAGGUGUCGGCCACGGUGCGACCGUGGUCGGUGCCGUAGGGAAGCCGUGAAGCGAGCCACCUGGGAAGUGCGGCCGCAAGGCUGAAACUUAAAGGAAUUGGCGGGGGAGCACCACAACGGGUGGAGCUUGCGGUUUAAUUGGAUUCAACGCCGGAAAUCUUACCGGGACCGACAGCAAUAUGAAGGCCAGGCUGAAGACUUUGCCGGAUUAGCUGAGAGGUGGUGCAUGGCAAU